rnacentral:tRNA from 1 species
GCCUUGCUGGCCCAAUGGAUAAGGCGCCACCCUCCUAAGAUGACGAUUCUAAGCGCGAUCCUCGGGUAGGGUA